AUUGAACGCUGGCGGCAGGCCCAACACAUGCAAGUCGAACGAGUGGCGGACGGGUGAGUAAUGUCUGGGAAACCGCCUGAUGGAGGGGGAUAACUACUGGAAACGGUAGCUAAUACCGCAUACCCUCAGCUGUGCCCAGAUGGGAUUAGCUUGUUGGUUGGGUAACGGCUCACCAAGGCGACGAUCCCUAGCUGGUCUGAGAGGAUGACCAGCCACACUGGAACUGAGACAAGGUCCAGGCUACGACGGGGGGCAGCAGUGGGGAAUAUUGAAGAAUGGGCGCAAGCCUAAUGCAGCCAUGCCACGUGUAUGAAGAAGGCCUUCGGGUUGUAAAGUACUUUCAGCGGGGGUGCGUUACCAGCAGCAGAAGCACCGGCUAACUCCGUGCCAGCCGCCGCGGUAAUUC
rnacentral:rRNA from 1 species